GAAUUCAGUGAAUCAUCGAAUCUUUGAACGCACAUUGCGCCCUCUGGUAUUCCGGGGGGCAUGCCUGUUCGAGCGUCAUUA
rnacentral:rRNA from 1 species